AGACAGAAGAGAAAAAGGACGUUAAACGCAACGAAACGCCAUAAGUUAGGUGCGUAAAUCCUAAGAACUAUGGAUAUCCUGUAAGGAAACUCAAAAACGAGACUCUACCUAGUGAACUGAAACAUCUAAGUAACUAGAGGAACUCAAAUCAACCGAGACUCCGUAAGUAGUGGUGAGCGAAAACGGAUUAGGCCUUCAUUGUUUUUUAAUUUUACAAGUUGAAGCUGUUUGGAAAAACGCGCCAAAGAGAGUGAUAGCCCUGUAAACUCAAGGAAAUUAAGAAAAAAAUGGAUUCUAGAAUUUACUAAAAUUUUGGAUUAAGAGUAAAACGAAGACCUUCUUUGUUUGAAUUUAAGGGGGACCACCCUCUAAGCCUAAGUAUACUCUUCUGAUCGAUAGUGAACAAGUACCGUGAGGGAAAGGUGAAAAAGAUCCCUAAAGAGGGAGUGAAAAAGAUCCUGAAACUGAAUGCUUACAAGCAGUCGAAGCUUUUUUGAAAAGUUACGGCGUACCUUUUGCAUAAUGGGUCAGCGAGUAAAUUUAUGAAGCAAGCCUAAGCUCUUAAGUGGAGGCGGAGUGAAUGCAAGCUUGAAAAGAGCCCUAAGUUUCUUAAAUUUGACCCGAAACCAAGCGAUCUAAUCAUGAGCAGGUUGAAAAAAUGAUAAUACGUUUUGGAGGACCGAACCCACAUCUGUGGCAAUAGAUGGGGAUGACUUGUGAUUAUGGGGUGAAAAGCCAAUCGAGCUUGGAAAUAGCUGGUUUUCUGCGAAAUCUAUUGAGGUAGAGCGUAUACAUUUACAGUAAAAAGGAGGUAGAGCACUCGCUGGGUGAUGGUGGCCCAAAACCUUACUGAUCCCAUGGAAACUCCGAAUACCUUUUUACCUGAUAUACAGACAGACUAGAGGCGCUAAGGUCUCUAGUCAAAAGGGAAACAACCCAGAUCGAACGCUAAGGUUCCUAAACACUUUCUGAGUGGCAAAGGAAGUUUCUAGGCUAAAACAACCAGGAGGUAGGCUUGGAAGCAGCCAUCCUUUGAAGAAAGCGUAAUAGCUCACUGGUCUAUGUCUAGGAGCACCUAAAAUUCAUCGGAGCUCAAGAAAUUUACCGAAGCGGCGAUUUUCCUAAGUUUUUUUUUAAGAACAUGGAAAAGGUAGCAGAACGUUCUGUAAAUCACAGAUGUUUCAUUGUUAAAUGAAAUGGAGAUAUCAGAAGUGAGAAUGCUGACAUGAGUAACGACAAAUCAUGUGAAAAUCAUGAUAGCCGAAAGUCCUAGGUUUUCUACAGACCGUAUCUCGGUGUAGAGUGAAUCGGCCCCUAAGAGAAAAGCGAAAGCAUAUUCUUAAUGGGUACAAUGAUGAAAAUUCAUUGAUGUAUCAUUUAAUGACGGCUCAGAGAAUGUCCUUCAAGGAAACGGAUACCUUGAAAUCAGGUCAUCACUGAGCCCAGGAAACAAUGAAAUGAUUUUUGAAUUUUCAAAAAAAAAACACCGUACUUAAACCGACACAGGUGGACUCGUUGUAAAAACUAAGGCUAAGAGAGAAUCAUGUUGAAGGAACUCGGCAAAUUACCUCCGUAACUUCGGAAUAAGGAGGACAUCACAAGCACAAAUUGAAAUACACUUUGUGUUUGCUAUGUGUCACAAAAUUGGGGGUGGCGACUGUUUACUAAAAACACAGGACUCUGCUAAGUGGUAACACGACGUAUAGGGUCUGACACCUGCCCGGUGCUGGAAACUUAACAGGAAGGGUGCAUCUCUCUCUCAAAGUUGUUCUAAUUUUGAGAAUCAGACAAGCUCUAAAUGCAAGGCCCAGUAAACGGCGGCCGUAACUCUGACGGUCCUAAGGUAGCGAAAUUCCUUGUCGGGUAAGUUCCGACCUGCAUGAAUGGUACGGUCCUAAGGUAGCGAAAUUCCUUGUCGGGUAAGUUCCGACCUGCAUGAAUGGUCUAAAGAGUAACGGAAGUGUGCGAAGGUAAGCUCAAGCUGGACGGAAAUCAGCUGGAGAGCGUAAUGGUAGAAGCUUGCCUGACUGUAAGACUUACAAGUCAAGCAGAGACGAAAGUCGGCCAUAGUGACCCGGGAGUUCUUGGUGGAAAGGCUCUCGAUCAACGGAUCAAAGGUACGCUAGGGAUAACAGGCUGAUGACUCCCAAGAGCUCUUAUCGACGGAGUCGUUUGGCACCUCGAUUGUCGACUCAUCGCAUCCUCGAGCUGAAGAAGGUUCGAAGGGUUCGGCUGUUCGCCGAUGAAAGCGGUACGUGAGUUGGGUUUAGUACGUCGUGAGACAGUACGGAUCCUAUCUUUUUCGGGUGUAAAAAAUUGAGAGAACCAUUCCCUUGUACGAGAGGACCGGGAAUGACGAACCUCUAGUGUAUCAGUUGUUGCGCCAGCAGCAUCGCUGAGUAGCUACGUUCGGAACGUAGAACUGCUGAAAGCAUCUCAAGCAGGAAUUCGUUUCUCAAAACAAGUUUUUGAGUCGUAGAAGACUACUACGUGAUAGGUGAGGUGUGGAAUUCUAGUGAUAGAACAGCUAACUCAUACUAACUCAUUUAGAAACCCC
rnacentral:rRNA from 1 species